UCUUAUCUCCUUUUGUGUGUGACUA
rnacentral:piRNA from 1 species